GACGAACGCUGGCGGCGUGCUUAACACAUGCAAGUCGAACGGAAAGGCCCUGCUUUUGUGGGGUGCUCGAGUGGCGAACGGGUGAGUAACACGUGAGUAACCUGCCCUUGACUUUGGGAUAACUUCAGGAAACUGGGGCUAAUACCGGAUAGGAGCUCCUGCUGCAUGGUGGGGGUUGGAAAGUUUCGGCGGCUGGGGAUGGACUCGCGGCUUAUCAGCUUGUUGGUGGGGUAGUGGCUUACCAAGGCUUUGACGGGUAGCCGGCCUGAGAGGGUGACCGGCCACAUUGGGACUGAGAUACGGCCCAGACUCCUACGGGAGGCAGCAGUGGGGAAUAUUGCACAAUGGGCGGAAGCCUGAUGCAGCAACGCCGCGUGCGGGAUGACGGCCUUCGGGUUGUAAACCGCUUUCGCCUGUGACGAAGCGUGAGUGACGGUAAUGGGUAAAGAAGCACCGGCUAACUACGUGCCAGCAGCCGCGGUGAUACGUAGGGUGCGAGCGUUGUCCGGAUUUAUUGGGCGUAAAGGGCUCGUAGGUGGUUGAUCGCGUCGGAAGUGUAAUCUUGGGGCUUAACCCUGAGCGUGCUUUCGAUACGGGUUGACUUGAGGAAGGUAGGGGAGAAUGGAAUUCCUGGUGGAGCGGUGGAAUGCGCAGAUAUCAGGAGGAACACCAGUGGCGAAGGCGGUUCUCUGGGCCUUUCCUGACGCUGAGGAGCGAAAGCGUGGGGAGCGAACAGGCUUAGAUACCCUGGUAGUCCACGCUGUAAACGGUGGGUACUAGGUGUGGGGUCCAUUCCACGGGUUCCGUGCCGUAGCUAACGCUUUAAGUACCCCGCCUGGGGAGUACGGCCGCAAGGCUAAAACUCAAAGGAAUUGACGGGGCCCCGCACAAGCGGCGGAGCAUGCGGAUUAAUUCGAUGCAACGCGUAGAACCUUACCUGGGUUUGACAUGGAUCGGGAGUGCUCAGAGAUGGGUGUGCCUCUUUUGGGGUCGGUUCACAGGUGGUGCAUGGCUGUCGUCAGCUCGUGUCGUGAGAUGUUGGGUUAAGUCCCGCAACGAGCGCAACCCUUGUUCACUGUUGCCAGCACGUUAUGGUGGGGACUCAGUGGAGACCGCCGGGGUCAACUCGGAGGAAGGUGGGGAUGACGUCAAGUCAUCAUGCCCCUUAUGUCCAGGGCUUCACGCAUGCUACAAUGGCUGGUACAGAGAGUGGCGAGCCUGUGAGGGUGAGCGAAUCUCGGAAAGCCGGUCUCAGUUCGGAUUGGGGUCUGCAAUUCGACCUCAUGAAGUCGGAGUCGCUAGUAACCGCAGAUCAGCAACGCUGCGGUGAAUACGUUCCCGGGGCU
rnacentral:rRNA from 1 species